GUUUGAUCAUGGCUCAGGAUGAACGCUAGCUACAGGCUUAACACAUGCAAGUCGAGGGGCAGCAUUUUAGUUUGCUUGCAAACUAAAGAUGGCGACCGGCGCACGGGUGAGUAACACGUAUCCAACCUGCCGAUAACUCGGGGAUAGCCUUUCGAAAGAAAGAUUAAUAUCCGAUAGUAUAUUAAAACCGCAUGGUUUUACUAUUAAAGAAUUUCGGUUAUCGAUGGGGAUGCGUUCCAUUAGUUUGUUGGCGGGGUAACGGCCCACCAAGACUACGAUGGAUAGGGGUUCUGAGAGGAAGGUCCCCCACAUUGGAACUGAGACACGGUCCAAACUCCUACGGGAGGCAGCAGUGAGGAAUAUUGGUCAAUGGACGAGAGUCUGAACCAGCCAAGUAGCGUGAAGGAUGACUGCCCUAUGGGUUGUAAACUUCUUUUAUAUGGGAAUAAAGUAUUCCACGUGUGGGAUUUUGUAUGUACCAUAUGAAUAAGGAUCGGCUAACUCCGUGCCAGCAGCCGCGGUAAUACGGAGGAUCCGAGCGUUAUCCGGAUUUAUUGGGUUUAAAGGGAGCGUAGGUGGAUUGUUAAGUCAGUUGUGAAAGUUUGCGGCUCAACCGUAAAAUUGCAGUUGAAACUGGCAGUCUUGAGUACAGUAGAGGUGGGCGGAAUUCGUGGUGUAGCGGUGAAAUGCUUAGAUAUCACGAAGAACUCCGAUUGCGAAGGCAGCUCACUAGACUGCAACUGACACUGAUGCUCGAAAGUGUGGGUAUCAAACAGGAUUAGAUACCCUGGUAGUCCACACAGUAAACGAUGAAUACUCGCUGUUUGCGAUAUACAGUAAGCGGCCAAGCGAAAGCAUUAAGUAUUCCACCUGGGGAGUACGCCGGCAACGGUGAAACUCAAAGGAAUUGACGGGGGCCCGCACAAGCGGAGGAACAUGUGGUUUAAUUCGAUGAUACGCGAGGAACCUUACCCGGGCUUAAAUUGCAUUUGAAUAAUCUGGAAACAGGUUAGCCGCAAGGCAAAUGUGAAGGUGCUGCAUGGUUGUCGUCAGCUCGUGCCGUGAGGUGUCGGCUUAAGUGCCAUAACGAGCGCAACCCUUAUCUUUAGUUACUAACAGGUCAUGCUGAGGACUCUAGAGAGACUGCCGUCGUAAGAUGUGAGGAAGGUGGGGAUGACGUCAAAUCAGCACGGCCCUUACGUCCGGGGCUACACACGUGUUACAAUGGGGGGUACAGAAGGCAGCUACCUGGUGACAGGAUGCUAAUCCCAAAAACCUCUCUCAGUUCGGAUCGAAGUCUGCAACCCGACUUCGUGAAGCUGGAUUCGCUAGUAAUCGCGCAUCAGCCAUGGCGCGGUGAAUACGUUCCCGGGCCUUGUACACACCGCCCGUCAAGCCAUGAAAGCCGGGGGUACCUGAAGUACGUAACCGCAAGGAGCGUCCUAGGGUAAAACUGGUAAUUGGGGCUAAGUCGUAACAAGGUAACC
rnacentral:rRNA from 1 species